rnacentral:rRNA from 1 species
GACGAACGCUGGCGGCGUGCUUAACACAUGCAAGUCGAACGGAAAGGCCCUGCUUUUGUGGGGUGCUCGAGUGGCGAACGGGUGAGUAACACGUGAGUAACCUGCCCUUGUUUUUGGGAUAACUUCAGGAAACUGGGGCUAAUACCGGAUAGGAGCUCCUGCUGCAUGGUGGGGGUUGGAAAGUUUCGGCGGUUGUGGAUGGACUCGCGGCUUAUCAGCUUGUUGGUUGGGUAGUGGCUUACCAAGGCUUUGACGGGUAGCCGGCAUGAGAGGGUGACCGGCCACAAUGGGACUGAGAUACGGCCCAGACUCGUACGGGGGGCAGCGGUGGGGAAUAUUACACAAUGGGCGGAAGCCUGAUGCAGCAGCCCCGCGUGCGUGAUGACGGCCUUCGGGUUGUAAACCGCUUUCGCCUGUGACGAAGCGUGAGUGACGGUAAUGAGUAAAGAAGCACCGGCUAACUACGUG